AGGUUCUGUCAUGUGAUAUUACUCCACGCAGAGGGAAGUCGGAGCAGCCCUGCACGCUGCUUUACACCACUGGAAAACAUUGAGCUUUGCCUGUGGGAAGCUCAGAAUCAGAAGCUGCGCGGGUACAGGGGAGUCCCAUCACCUCAGCUUCACCCAUGUCCCUGCUUCUGCAGCAGUUUUAGACACCUUAAUUGUGGGUUAUGCAGUUUGCUUCACUUGCCAUUUCAGGAGGCCGCAUCAGCCAUCCCACCAGGUAGCAUUGUCUACAAGCAGCUCUGCAACCUUUUCAUCCUGCUCCCUUAUUUUUGUUACACUUGGUGUAGCAAUGCCAUAGGACAUUUUAAGUACGAAUUGGUAUUCCUUGUGGUAUGUCCUCGGGUCUGUUAUGCUUAGGGUGUUUGCGUUACCUGUUUAGACACCCACACGCGGUGUGGUUAUUUUUGUUUGUGACUGAACGCAGGCUGUACAGCGGAUGUCGCAGGAGUAUGUUUAGAACUUCCAUUGAUCUCUUUAGCUACAAAUAAUCAUUACCGUGGCAAAGCAAACAGCGGAUCAAAAAUGCAGGAACAUAGCCCAAAGGGCGCUGCUCACUUUUCCUUCUGAAAUACACGACACGCAGGUUUGAGGUGUAGAAUAGCAACUGCUGAAAGGUAUUAAACAAGAAA
rnacentral:lncRNA from 1 species